UCGAAUGAUUAAAUGUAUGAAUUUUUAUCAAUCUGUCAAUCCCCUGAGAUUUUCAUUGAAGAGAAUAUUCAUCGAAUUAUGACG
rnacentral:snoRNA from 1 species